CUACGGAGGGUGCGAGCGUUAAUCGGAAUUACUGGGCGUAAAGGGUCCGUAGGCGGUCUGCUUAGUCUGAUGUGAAAGCCCCGGGCUUAACCUGGGAAUGGCAUUGGAUACUGGCGGACUAGAGUCUGGUAGAGGGUGGUGGAAUUCCCGGUGUAGCGGUGAAAUGUGUAGAUAUCGGGAGGAACACCAGUGGCGAAGGCGGCCACCUGGACCAAGACUGACGCUGAGGGACGAAAGCGUGGGGAGCAAACAGGAUUAGAAACCCUAGUAGUCC
rnacentral:rRNA from 1 species